rnacentral:tRNA from 1 species
GCCUGGCUGGCUCAGUCAGUAGAGCAUGUGACUCUUGAUCUCAGGGUCAUAGGUUCAAGCCCCAUGUUGGGCG